rnacentral:rRNA from 1 species
UACGUAGGGUGCAAGCGUUAAUCGGAAUUACUGGGCGUAAAGCGUGCGCAGGCGGUUGUGCAAGACAGGUGGGAAAUCCCCGGGCUCAACCUGGGAACUGCAUUUGUGACUGCACGGCUGGAGUGCGGCAGAGGGGGAUGGAAUUCCGCGUGUAGCAGUGAAAUGCGUAGAUAUGCGGAGGAACACCGAUGGCGAAGGCAAUCCCCUGGGCCUGCACUGACGCUCAUGCACGAAAGCGUGGGGAGCAAACAGG